GGCUCCGUGGCGCAACUGAAUAGCGCAUCAGAUUUCGGCUCUGAGGGUUGGGGGUUUGAAUCCCUUCGGAGUCACUA
rnacentral:tRNA from 1 species